AACCUCCCAGGAUCGCAUCUGGAGAAUGGCUUGUAUUCUGCCAGCUUCGGAGUCGGGAGAGAAAGCAAGCCUGGCAGAGGUACCCAUUCCAUUCCCAGUUUGCUCAGUAUCUGGUGAUUGGAAGACACUCUGCAACAAGA
rnacentral:snoRNA from 1 species